GCAAGUCGAACGGCAGCACGGAGAGCUUGCUCUCUGGUGGCGAGUGGCGAACGGGUGAGUAAUAUAUCGGAACGUGUCCAAUAAUGGGGGAUAACGAGUCGAAAGAUUCGCUAAUACCGCAUACGCCCUACGGGGGAAAGCAGGGGAUCGUAAGACCUUGCGUUAAUGGAGCGGCCGAUAUCUGAUUAGCUUGUUGGUGAGGUAAAGGCUCACCAAGGCGACGAUCAGUAGCUGGUUUGAGAGAACGACCAGCCACACUGGAACUGAGACACGGUCCAGACUCCUACGGGAGGCAGCAGUGGGGAAUUUUGGACAAUGGGGGCAACCCUGAUCCAGCCAUUCCGCGUGAGUGAAGAAGGCCUUCGGGUUGUAAAGCUCUUUCGCAAGGGAAGAAAACUUAUGAUCGAAUAAAUCAUGAGGUUGACGGUACCUUGAUAAGAAGCACCGGCUAACUACGUGCCAGCAGCCGCGGUAAUACGUAGGGUGCGGGCGUUAAUCGGAAUUACUGGGCGUAAAGCGUGCGCAGGCGGUUUUGUAAGUCGGAUGUGAAAUCCCCGGGCUCAACCUGGGAACUGCGUUCGAAACUGCAAGGCUAGAGUGUGUCAGAGGGGGGUAGAAUUCCACGUGUAGCAGUGAAAUGCGUAGAGAUGUGGAGGAAUACCAAUGGCGAAGGCAGCCCCCUGGGAUAACACUGACGCUCAUGCACGAAAGCGUGGGGAGCAAACAGGAUUAGAUACCCUGGUAGUCCACGCCCUAAACGAUGUCAACUAGUUGUUGGUAGAGUAAAAUCUAUGAGUAACGUAGCUAACGCGUGAAGUUGACCGCCUGGGGAGUACGGUCGCAAGAUUAAAACUCAAAGGAAUUGACGGG
rnacentral:rRNA from 1 species